rnacentral:rRNA from 1 species
CAGCCGCCACGGUAAUACAGAGGGUGCAAGCGUUAAUCGGAAUUACUGGGCGUAAAGCGUGCGUAGGCGGCUUCUUAAGUCGGAUGUGAAAUCCCUGAGCUUAACUUAGGAAUUGCAUUCGAUACUGGGAAGCUAGAGUAUGGGAGAGGAUGGUAGAAUUCCAGGUGUAGCGGUGAAAUGCGUAGAGAUCUGGAGGAAUACCGAUGGCGAAGGCAGCCAUCUGGCCUAAUACUGACGCUGAGGUACGAAAGCAUGGGGAGCAAACAGGAUUAGAUACCCCUGUAGUCCCUGUCUCUUAUAC